GACGAACGCUGGCGGCGUGCUUAACACAUGCAAGUCGAACGGAAAGGCCCUGCUUUUGUGGGGUGCUCGAGUGGCGAACGGGUGAGUAACACGUGAGUAACCUGCCCUUGACUUUGGGAUAACUUCAGGAAACUGGGGCUAAUACCGGAUAGGAGCUCCUGCUGCAUGGUGGGGGUUGGAAAGUUUCGGCGGUUGGGGAUGGACUCGCGGCUUAUCAGCUUGUUGGUGGGGUAGUGGCUUACCAAGGCUUUGACGGGUAGCCGGCCUGAGAGGGUGACCGGCAAAAUGGGGACGGAGAUACGGCCAAGACUCUUACGGGAGGAAGAAGGGGGGAAUAUUGCACAAUGGCGGAAGCCUGAUGCAGCAACGCCGCGUGCGGGAUGACGGCCUUCGGGUUGUAAACCGCUUUCGCCUGUGACGAAGCGUGAGUGACGGUAAUGGGUAAAGAAGCACCGGCUAACUACGUG
rnacentral:rRNA from 1 species